rnacentral:rRNA from 1 species
GACGAACGCUGGCGGCGUGCUUAACACAUGCAAGUCGAACGAAGUGGCGAACGGGUGAGUAACGCGUAAUCAACCUGCCCUUCAGAGGGGGACAACAGUUGGAAACGACUGCUAAUCCCGCAUACUGAAUGAGGGGAUUUCGUCUGAUUAGCUAGGUGGAGGGGUAACGGCCCACCAAGGCGAUGAUCAGUAGACGGGAUGAGAGGAGGAACGGACACAUUGGGCAUGAGACACGGCCCAGACUCCUACGGGAGGCAGCAGUGGGGAAUCGUCCGAAAGGGAAGAAAGUCUGACGGAGCAACGCAGCGGGAGUGAGGAGGGCCUUCGGGUUGUAAAGCUCUGUUAAUCGGGACGCGGUACCGGAAUAGAAAGCCACGGCUAACUACGUGCCAGCAGCCGCGGUAAUAC